AGCUUUGCGCGGUGGCGAUAUCGUAAGUUAGUUAUUACGAUUCGUAACCAAUGAGAUCCAGCCGAGGUGCGAUUAUUGCUAGUUGAAAACUUUACCAAUACCCCGCCUCUUGGACAUGAAACACUGCCAGCGUAGGCAAUUUUUGAAGGCCCUAACGGGC
rfam:Acyrthosiphon pisum strain LSR1 Contig21284, whole genome shotgun sequence.